CUUCCAAUUCAACUUGCAAGCUGUUUUGCGCAAUGAUUUGGCUUUUUUAAAACAUUUCUUUUGUCUUCUAUGUUUUUAGCACGAUGUAGUUAUAAAACACAUCCCUGCUGAUCAGAAACCAACCUUAAGCUUAUUGAGUAUUCAACUGUUCACGGCAAACAUUUCAGAGCAAAUCAACCAACAAAUAAAG